AACGAACGCUGGCGGCAGGCUUAACACAUGCAAGUCGAACGCCCCGCAAGGGGAGUGGCAGACGGGUGAGUAACGCGUGGGAAUCUACCGUACCCUACGGAAUAACGCAUGGAAACGUGUGCUAAUACCGUAUACGCCCUUAGGGGGAAAGGAUUUAUCGGGGUAUGAUGAGCCCGCGUUGGAUUAGCUAGUUGGUGGGG
rnacentral:rRNA from 1 species